UUAUUUAUUUAAUUUUGUUUUGUGUGGGCAAAAAGGUUUGUUUGGUGACUUAUGAAGCACUGGUAUUUUGUCCAGACUUCUCUCAAAAAUGCAGCUUUUCACAUUACAAGAUAUUAACUGAUGGACUGGAGUGGUGUGGAUUACUUGUGGAUUAUUGUGAUGUUUUUAUCAGCUGUUUGGACUCUCAUUCUGACGGCACCCAUUCACCACAGAGGAUCCAUUGGAAAGCAAAGCUGCAUUUCUUCAAAUCUGAUGAAGAAACUCAUCUACAUCUUGGAUGGCCUGAGGUAAAGUACAAGCACUUCUCCAAAUCAUGAUAUUUUGGCCAAAGAAAACUCAUCCAGGUGUGAGUAAUUAUCCAUAUGCACACAUAACCAUCAUCAUGUGAAGAGGGGCCUCACCCAGGGGCCGCGUUACUGUCAGGGGGGAUGCCAGACAAGAAGGCACCUGAGAUAAGUGGCUUCUUCAGGGAAUAUCACACAAUGAGGAGCUCCAGCCAUAUGUCAGACCUGUAUUGCAUCAUCAAUAGUAAUAAUCUUCCUGAAGGAGUUUAAUCUCAAGAGGCUCUGCUCUCACUAACCUAGACUGACAUUAAUAUUUAUUUCUUUUGAAAUACUUUCAUUGAAAUGUACUUUUAUUUAGCAAGGAUGAUUUAAGUGAUUAAAAGCAACAUUGAUAAUAAUCAGAAAUGUUUCUGGAGCAGCAAAUAAGCAUAUUAGAAUGAUUUCUGAAGGAUCGUGACAUUGAAAACUGCUGAAAAUUCAGCAUUGAUCACAAAAAAUAAAUUACAUUUGACUAUAUAUUCACAUAGAACACAGCUAUUUUAGAUUGUAAUAAUAUUUUACAUUUUUACUGUAAUUUUUUUAUUUUAAAAUGCAGCCUUGAUGAGCAUAAGAUACUUUUAUUACCAACU